UACAGAGGGGGCAAGCGUUGUUCGGAAUUACUGGGCGUAAAGGGCGCGUAGGCGGCCUGCUAAGUCGAACGUGAAAUCCCCGGGCUCAACCCGGGAACUGCGUCCGAGACUGGCGGGCUUGAAUCCGGGAGAGGGAUGCGGAAUUCCAGGUGUAGCGGUGAAAUGCGUAGAUAUCUGGAGGAACACCGGUGGCGAAGGCAGCAUCCUGGACCGGCAUUGACGCUGAGGCGCGAAAGCCAGGGGAGCAAACGGG
rnacentral:rRNA from 1 species